GACGAACGCUGGCGGCGUGCUUAACACAUGCAAGUCGAACGGAAAGGCCCGCUUGCGGGUACUCGAGUGGCGAACGGGUGAGUAACACGUGGGUAACCUGCCCUCAGCUUCGGGAUAACUCCGGGAAACCGGGGCUAAUACCGGAUAUUCAUUGCUCAUCGCAUGGUGGGUGGUGGAAAGUUUUUCGGCUGGGGAUGGGCCCGCGGCCUAUCAGCUUGUUGGUGGGGUGAUGGCCUACCAAGGCUUCGACGGGUAGCCGGCCUGAGAGGGCGACCGGCCACACUGGGACUGAGACACGGCCCAGACUCCUACGGGAGGCAGCAGUGGGGAAUAUUGCGCAAUGGGCGGAAGCCUGACGCAGCGACGCCGCGUGAGGGAUGACGGUCUUCGGGUUGUAAACCUCUUUCAGCAGGGACGAAUGUAGACGGUAC
rnacentral:rRNA from 1 species